GACAGAGGGGGCAAGCGUUGCUCGGAAUUACUGGGCGUAAAGGGCGCGUAGGCGGGAUGGCAAGUCGGUCGUGAAAUCCCUCGGCUCAACCGAGGAACGUCGAUCGAUACUGCUGUUCUUGAGGAUUGCAGAGGAGACUGGAAUUCCCGGUGUAGCGGUGAAAUGCGCAGAUAUCGGGAGGAACACCUAUGGCGAAGGCAGCUCGCUGGGACGUUACUGACGCUGAGACGCGAAAGCGUGGGGAGCAAACAGG
rnacentral:rRNA from 1 species